rnacentral:lncRNA from 1 species
AUGUCCAGUGCUGACCACGCCAAGGAUGAUCCACCCCUGCAGAAGAGCCCAAGGAGGAGACCAGCUGGCUCUGAGCCCCUGUUCCAUUGUCUCACCCUGGCCCCUGCAAAGCUCAUGGGCCAGUGGCUGUCUUUUAUGGAAGAGGAUCCAGCAAAUGUAGGGGAUCCACGGUUGGCCUCAGCAGACAGCCAUGAGGGAACAGGUGAGCAAGCUGACCCUGGCCUUGCUGAGCUCAGCAGAAGUACUGUUCCCAAGUGGAAGCUUUGAUGUACAGGCUGCAGCUGUCUUUUUGGAUUACACAGGCACAUGUCCUUCAGCCUCCCGGGCUUCUUGCAAUACCAGAGGACCUCAGAGGAAUUCAUAAUGAAGGAGCUGAGGCAAUCACCCACUUUUAGAGAAAAAGAGAUUUUUAAAGCAGAAUUCUUUUGCUGUUUUUAAAAUGCACUUCAGGAGUCCCCUUGUGGUACAGCAGGUUAAGGAUCAGGCAUGGUCACUGUAGCAGCUUGGGUCCCUGGCCUGGGAACUUCCACAUGUUGUGGGUGUGACCAAAAAUAAAUAAAUAAAUGAAGUGUGUGUGUGUGUGUGG